AACGAACGCUGGCGGCGCGCCUAACACAUGCAAGUCGAACGAGAAGGCGUAGCAAUACGCUUGUAGAGUGGCGAACGGGUGAGUAAUACGUGGGUGACCUACCCUCGAGUGGGAAGUAACCCGCCGAAAGGCGGGCUAAUGCCGCGUACGCUUCCGUCCUCACGGGACGGGAAGGAAAGCUGUACCGUGGGUACGGCGCUCAAGGAUGGGCUCACGUCCUAUCAGCUUGUUGGUAGGGGUAACGGCCUACCAAGGCUACGACGGGUAGCUGGUCUGAGAGGACGAUCAGCCACACUGGCACUGCGACACGGGCCAGACUCCUACGGGAGGCAGCAGUGAGGAAUAUUGCGCAAUGGGCGAAAGCCUGACGCAGCGACGCCGCGUGGGGA
rnacentral:rRNA from 1 species